rnacentral:rRNA from 1 species
UACGGAGGGUGCAAACGUUGCUCGGAAUCAUUGGGCGUAAAGCGUGUGUAGGCGGUUUGUUAAGUCGGGUGUGAAAGCCCUAGGCUCAACCUAGGAAGUGCAUUCGAAACUAGCAGACUUGAGUACGGGAGAGGGUCGCGGAAUUCCCGGUGUAGAGGUGAAAUUCGUAGAUAUCGGGAGGAACACCAGUGGCGAAGGCGGCGACCUGGACCGAUACUGACGCUGAGACACGAAAGCGUGGGGAGCAAACAGG